rnacentral:rRNA from 1 species
UACGUAGGUGGCGAGCGUUGUCCGGAUUUACUGGGCGUAAAGGGAGCGUAGGCGGACUUUUAAGUGAGAUGUGAAAUACCCGGGCUCAACUUGGGUGCUGCAUUUCAAACUGGAAGUCUAGAGUGCAGGAGAGGAUAAUGGAAUUCCUAGUGUAGCGGUGAAAUGCGUAGAUAUUAGGAGGAACACCAGUUGCGAAGGCGGCUCUCUGGACUGUAACUGACGCUGAGGCACGAAAGCGUGGGGAGCAAACAGGAUUAGAUACCCU